AUUGAACGCUGGCGGCAGGCCUAACACACGCAAGUCGAACGGUAACAGGAAGAAGCUUGCUUCUUUGCUGACGAGUGGCGGACGGGUGAGUAAUGUCUGGGAAACUGCCUGAUGGAGGGGGAUAACUACUGGAAACGGUAGCUAAUACCGCAUAACGUCGCAAGACCAAAGAGGGGGACCUUCGGGCCUCUUGCCAUCGGAUGUGCCCAGAUGGGAUUAGCUAGUAGGUGGGGUAACGGCUCACCUAGGCGACGAUCCCUAGCUGGUCUGAGAGGAUGACCAGCCACACUGGAACUGAGACACGGUCCAGACUCCUACGGGAGGCAGCAGUGGGGAAUAUUGCACAAUGGGCGCAAGCCUGAUGCAGCCAUGCCGCGUGUAUGAAGAAGGCCUUCGGGUUGUAAAGUACUUUCAGCGGGGAGGAAGGGAGUAAAGUUAAUACCUUUACUCAUUGACGUUACCCGCAGAAGAAGCACCGGCUAACUCCGUG
rnacentral:rRNA from 1 species